AGAUACAAAAGCAAAAGCAAGACAAAAAGCGACCAAAAUCCAAAGGAAUCUCUGUGAGUAGAACACCUGAGCUGCAUAGAUGGAGAGCGGAGUUGACACAAUUGUGAUUUGUUGGUUCACGGACAUGAAGGAAAGGAAUCCUCAGUUUGCAGCUGGCUAUGGAAGGCCAGUUACUAUGCAGGAAAGCUGAGAACUGAGAGAAAUGAAAGCUGCAGUUUGCUGAAGUGCUGCCCCCGUUUCCCUGCUUUACAACUGCCUUAGCAAGAAAGAAAAAGAGGAGGAAACAGAAGAAAGAAGAGGAAGAAGUCCCGAAUACCUCACAAGGCUCAGCUCAGUUGGCACCUGUUGUAAAAAUUUCUCUGGCCUUCUCUCUUCUCCUUCCUGGGAGAAGAAUUGAUUACUCUGAUUUCUGCAUUUUCAUUAUGUUCUUAUUCCUACUUCCUUUACUGUUCAUAUCACUUUUCAUAGCCAUUUACAAGACUCACUAAACUAUGACCUGC